rnacentral:lncRNA from 1 species
CCCAACCCCAUCCCUUUCCCCUCAUUCCCUUGCCGACAAGCUCAACACCCAUUUCCCCACAAUAACUAAACCCUCCUUGUCCACCUGUACCGCCAUUUUGGCCUCAAAAUUAACCCGUCCAACUGUAAAAAACACUCAAGAUUAAAUAAGCAGCAGUAUAUCACAAGGGGCAUGUUUGGCUAACAGCUAGAUGGGAUCCCUCCGAACUUGUAAGCCUGAUGUGGAUGAAGCUCCAUUUUUUAUCCAACUGUCGAGGAGUUCGAAGAUACACUUGGUUAUCUAUUAAAAAUACGACUGGAUUAGAUGCCGGUGGUGGUUGAAGGUGGAGAUGGUGGUGUGGUGUGGUGUGGUAGUGGUGGUGGUGUGGAGUGGAGAGGAUGAAGUGGGUAGGGUGGAUGGUGGGUCCCAUAUAAAUCGUAAAAUGUUAAUUAUAUUUAUUUUAAUUUUUUAGUUAUUAAUUUGACAGUAAAGGUAUUUUUGUCAUUUUACACGCAACUAAUAUCAAAAACUAACCUUCAUCCACACCAGGGACUAUUCGGGAACGAAAUUCAAAAACUUGGAAAAUAUAGGUGUAAUUUUAGAAAGUUUGAGACUAAAGGUGAAAAAUAAGGAAACCACAGAGACUAUCCGAGCAUUUUUCUCUUAAAAGUUUUUCUAAAGUUUUAAGAAAAUUUUGGGAAAUCCUCUUGAACUUUGCUGAUAACAAUAACACGUAUUUUUCUAAAGGGUAAAUAAUAUAAACAAAAACUAAUAUAUUUUUUUUACAAAAACCUAUUAAUAACUUUUUAUAAGUAAAAAAUCAACAUACUUUAUGUUUUGUCUAGUAAAAGUCAUUCAACAUUUUUUUUUUUAACAUUAAAGUCUCUUCAUAUGUUAAAUUUGAACAAAAAUAUGAUAAACAUUUUCUUAAAACUUGUUACAUGAAGUUAUGUUUCAAAUUAAGAUAUAUUUGAAAAUUCAUAGGUCAUUGCUAGAGAACUGAAAAUAGUUAAAAACAACAAACGAUUAAAUCCGAAUCGAAUAAAAUGAAUUCAGUUUAUAUGUAGCACAAUAAACUGAGUAGUCAAAGUAAACGAUACUUUAUAUUUAGAACCCAAUUACAUGAAUUCGUUGUAUUCGGUUGAAACCGAAAACCAAACCAAAUUCGAAUGCGGUUUGUGAUUUGGUUUUGAAGUACUUAAAUUCCGUUUACUUUGGUUCGAUUUUUUGUUUAACCCAAAUAUUUUCAAAGCGAAUAAAAGGAACCGAUGGACAUCUCAAACAGUUCCAAGUUGUGAAAAUUAUUUUGUCAUAAUUUUGUUUAAAUUUAACAUGUCAAGAGACUUUAAUGCUUGAUGACAUAGCAAAACUUGAUUGGAAGUUAUGAGUGAUGAGUCAUAGACGCCCCUACCUCCCUUAUAUGAUUCCAACCAAAAUAAAGUGAAACAAAGUGAUUACACUCCUACUAAUCUGUCUAGGAUUGUCUUGUUUAAUACUAACUCAACAAGACAACAUUGUACAUUCAACUGGAAUACAAUUAUAACGUUUUGUAACAGAAAGAAUUCAAAUUUCAAAGUUAAACAUGAGGCCUAUA